UACGGGGGGGGCAAGCGUUGUUCGGAAUUACUGGGCGUAAAGGGCUCGUAGGCGGCCAACUAAGUCAGACGUGAAAUCCCCAGGCUCAACCUGGGAACUGCGUCUGAUACUGGAUGGCUUGAAUUCGGGAGAGGGAUGCAGAAUUCCAGGUGUAGCGGUGAAAUGCGUAGAUAUCUGGAGGAAUACCGGUGGCGAAGGCGGCAUCCUGGACCGAGAUUGACACUGAUGAGCGAAAGCUGGGGGAGCAAACGGG
rnacentral:rRNA from 1 species